rnacentral:tRNA from 1 species
GCCGAAGUGGCGGAACUGGUAGACGCGCAGGUCUCAAAAACCUGUCAGGGCAACCUGGUGGGAGUUCGAUUCUCCCCUUCGGCACCA